UACGGAGGGAGCUAGCGUUAAUCGGAAUUACUGGGCGUAAAGCGUGCGCAGGCGGUUUUGUAAGCCAGAUGUGAAAUCCCCGGGCUUAACCUGGGAAUGGCAUUUGGGACUGCAAGGCUUGAGUGCGGCAGAGGAGACUGGAAUUCCUGGUGUAGCGGUGAAAUGCGCAGAUAUCAGGAAGAACACCCGUGGCUAAGGCGGCUCUCUAGUACGGUACUGACGCUGAGACGCGAAAGCGUGGGGAGCGAACAGG
rnacentral:rRNA from 1 species